rnacentral:lncRNA from 1 species
CAGUCAUACAACAAGGCAGCAAGUUACUGUGGAGCUGAAUACUUGGGUCUCAGACAUAUUUCUGCCUACAUUCCCAGGAAAUUUUAUCACCAGUCUUCAAUGUGAAUUGAAUGAGGGACAGCAACUUUUUGGUUACUCAUCAAAGAAUCCCUGCCACCACGGUGAAAUGAUGUGACGACUAAGCUGACAGAUGGAUGUUAAUGAGGAACAUGGUCCAGCUGCUGCAAAUUAGCAAAACUUCCCAGGAAGAGUCCAUCCAGAGGUUCUGCUAUCCUGCUGCCGCGGGACUGCCUGUGGCCGGGAGUCCGGCACUAAAAAGAUUCCAAGGGCCUACAUCCCCAAGAGGCUGUGGCGCAUCUGGACCCAAGCCAUGGUGAGAGUGGCAGUGACUUCAAAGGUCUCCAGGACUCACUAGGCAACACUACCCGACGUUUACAGAUUUUAAAUGCAUCUCAAUCCCACAGGAAAUUUUUUUAAAACGUUAACAUAUUUUCAUACAUGUAUUAAAGGGGACUUUAAAAUGAGAUUGCAUAAAUGAAAAUAUGUAAAUACUAUAUGCUUCAUAGAGAAAUCAAAUGGGAAGUAAGAAGAACUAGAUAUGCAUUAUAU